UUUGUUCUGUAGACCAUAAAAGCAUCUGACACAAACAAACAAACAAAAAAACUGCUACAAAUGCAGUAUUUGUUACAUUGAAAGAAACUUUACAAACCUAACAUGAAAACAAACCCAAAAAUAAUAGUAAAUCAUAUUGUAUGCUCUUUUCCAUUGCUGCCUUUACAUGAUUUGAAACCUGAUGAAGAGCUUAUUUGCCUUAAAGCUUGUUUUUUACCAACUGUAUCAGUUAAUCUAAUAAAAGAUAAUGACUAUACAAACUCUCUCCUCACAUACAUUUCACAGAGUCUAGAUAGAGGGGAAAAAAUUAAGUUUGAAAACCCUACUUGUGCAGUCCCAUUGAAAGGACAACGAAUUUGUCUGGAUGCAAUAUGUAAUAAAUAACCCUAUGGGAAAAAAACAAAACAACAAAAAAAAAAGCAGAAACUCUCACAGCAUGUGCUUUACAAACUUGAAUAACUUGGACAUUUAAAUUGUUUUGUUUGGUCUCCUGCAUAUGGCAAAAUGGCCCAAUUGAUGCACUAAGUACCAUCAGUAUUUCAUUUUUAAGAAUUUAUCUGUUCUCCCUCCCCCUCCCCAUGAUGAUGGAGGAUAGGAUCAGUUUAGUAUCUGGAUCGCUGGCAGUGCACUUGAGUGCUGGUGAGUCAGCUAGAUGGGAAUGCUCCCUCUGAGUCAGUGCGGAGCCAGCCUCCCAGCAUGGUGCUUGGGGACACUCUGGUGCUUGAGCUGCAAUCAUUUAGAUCAGAGAAAACCAAAGCCCUGAACAGUUGCGGUCACUUGAGAUCAGAUGGAAAAAAACAGAGAUAUUAUGCCACCAAGCCACCCAGUGAGCCAGGAGAAUGUGGAACUAUUCUGAAGCACUGAUGGGUAUCACUGUGCUCCUGCAGGCCCCUGUCCCUCCAGCGGGUAGAAACUCAGUUUACAUCCUCCUGGAAGGGGAGUGUGUCUGCACGUGAGACUUCCUGGAAUACCACAAAGUGAGCGGGAAAUUGGGACCCACUUCUAACAUGGAAAAAAAUUACAGAGGAAAACAGAAAGCUAUUUUUGGCACGCUGAAUUCAGUAGAUGAAAAGCUGAGAUAAUCCUAUAGGAACUGUUUUGGAUCUUGAACAAGUCUAAUGGGGAGUGAAUAGGCAGCUUCAAGGGUCCUGACAAAGUGUGCAAGUGACAAAUGAAAGGAAGAUGUUCAUUUAUACACACUAUGUGUGAUCUUCUCUAGGGCUGGGGUAUGAAUUUUGCUCUUGACCACAGUCUUCCUUCUACUUUUGUUAAGGUAAGUUUUUUCCUGUAAAAAUGGAGUGGCAUUAUAACUGUCUGCUGUGGAAUGCAUAUUGUGUCUACGUUGAUACCAGCAUAAAUCAAUUAUUUUAGUUUUUAGAAUUAUUCUAUUACUUUCUCUCAUGUAAAAAAAAUGUAUGACUGCAUGACCAGAUAACAGCUACUUGCCAGUACCAAUGAUAAAUUUAGAUUGCUUCCAAAAUUCAUUUCCCAUAUUCUCUGACAGUAUGCAGGGAACACGAAGUUACUAAAUUUUAAAAUGUUCCACAUAGUCAUAUUAUUCCAGGAUGCCAGAAUGCACACAAGUACCCUUAGUCAUGAAGGUGUUAAUCAGUGUAUGUACCAUCUCAUCUGCAUCUAAGAAACCCUGCAAUUAAAAUUAGAACUUGUAUGCCUGGUCCCCAGUUUACUGCUUUUCAAAGUUCCUAUCUGCAUACACUGGGGACGGGAAGGGCCUUUUGAAAGUAAAUAAUUUAAAAAAAUUAGGGGGAUUUUUGAAAACUGCAGAGCUUCCCUUUAGGACCAGUCCAGGAGCUCUGUCCUUCUGUCAAAGUACAAAUUACCCCCAUAUGGUGAUGUCCGUUUGCUCAACUGUAAUUUAUUCAUUAUGCAGAGUGCCGAAUACCAAAUGGUGAAAGCACAGCAGCAGAACAAUGAAACAGGCUUAGGAAGCUAGUAAAUGUCCAAUCAAUGAGAACCUAAUGAACUAUAACAUGUAAUACUUUAUAAGGCAUUCAAAUUAAAAGGAGUAGAGGGGAGUGGGGGGGAAGAGAACUGCGACGAUGUAAUAUCAAUUUACUUAUUCCAAUUCUAAUCAAAUGAAAUAAGCAUCAUCCUCCAAAAAUACAACCAUAACUGAUAUUUGAGGAGGGGGAAUCUGGAAGGUAAUAUCAAGCAAAAAUUCCUUUAAGAACAUAAUUACAUACUAUUCACCUGUCCCUAUUUACUGCAAGUUCUUUGCAACAAGCUCCUUUGGUGAGGUAGUGAACAAUUUUUUUCAAUAUCAGUGCUUGGAAGAAGGUAGAUAAUAUGCAUCUUUAGGAUAUAUGAAUGUAAUGAGGGUAGCUGAGAUCUUUACCAAGAACUCAUAGGCGUAUUUCAUCAAAUGCAGCACCUUUACCUUACAAGACCAACGUAAAAAUUUAUCUGCACAUAGCGCUGUUCCCUCUAUCCCAAGAACCUUGUUUCAUUGUGAGUCCCAUUCCCACCUUUGCUUGAAACUCCAGGUCAAAUUCUUUAGCAAUAGGUAUAAUUAAUAAAUAAAGUACAAGGUAAUCUCAGGAGAGUGGUCUGUCCUUCCUAAGCAGCCAAUGUGCAGAAAGAACAUCUUCUGGAUAGAGCUAUUUUCAUCUAGCAAGGAAAUAACUAACUCCUUCUCCAGGCAGAGGAGGUGACGGCAGAGAUCCAGGUAUCUUGUCUGACAAAGCACUGUGUCGGUUUUACUGUCUUCUGGGCUACAUAGUCAAGAGUCUUAGUCCUUUACUCUUCUUCCAGUAAGACUCCUGUCUUUAAAUGGGAAAUUUCAAUUAAUGUGUCUCUGAAUCAUUGUUUCUCUAUUUUUAAAAGAGCUUGUACUGGGUUGUUGGCCAAUUCUUUCUUUCUUUUUUUUUCUUUUUCUUUUUUUUUUUUUUUUUUUUUUGUAAUUUAAGCCCUCUUAAUCCAUUUUAUAUUGGCUUCUAUUGCCUUCCUGACAGAAAAGGUGCCAACAAGAUGGUUCAUUCUCGUCUCAGCCAGCUACACAUAUUAGCAAUUCUCACAGCAGUUGCCAAGUAUAGCUGUAUGUCCUCCUCUUCAAGAGUGGCUGUAGUUUUCUUUUUCCACAGCAGUUGACAUUAAGUGUCUUCUGUGUUUCCUGCUGCUCCUGUUCACAUGUGAUAGCAGUUAGUGUCAGCUUCACUAUCUUUCCAUUUCUUCUUCUAUGUGUGCUUCUUUCCUUUUAUAGCUUUCUCCAUUAAAAAGAAUAAAAUAAAUCUCCCUUUUCAUUUAUAAUUCUGUGCUUACCCCAGGUUAAAUUUGAUGAAAAGCACUUUAGACUCUGGACUUCUGCAUCCUGCUCUGCUGCUAAUGUUGUGGCCUUUUGCACCAGUUGUGUGAAGUCUUUAGGUUACGCUGUAGGAGCCUUGUCUGUUUAUGAAAGCAGAAACUCGAAUGAUGUGUGCCUUCAAACACACAUGACAUAAGUGGUCAUAAAAGGUUUUGAUGCUCUCACUCCCCAGAUGGGCAGACAAGCACUAUUCUUAAUAUUCAUGUGUUUCUUAUAUAUUUCUUAUCCUGCAUUAGUACAAAACCAAUAGCAAAAGAAUGCUCUGAAAUUAUCAGCUAUACAAUGUUUCUGUGUCAGCCCCAUAACUGUGUAUAGACAUGAGAGUAGAUGACUUUUCUGGGAACUAGAAGGAUCCUAAUAUGACACAGGACAAAUCUCACUUUUCCAUCCAUGAAAGGAGGCAACAUAUACAUACGUUUUCCUUUUGUCUGGAUAGCUGUUCCAAAAAGCAGGCCCUUGGAGAAGUGUUCAGCACUAUAGGAACUCUGGAUUUAUGUUGGAUGCUUUUUAAAAGAGUGGCAGAGGACAUCACGUCAGUGAGAUUUCACCAAUUCAAGGAAAAACCUUGAAAACUCUAAUCAAGUCUGUCCCAUAUUCAUGCAACAGUAAAGACAAAAGGAUGUAAGUGCAUCAAAGUCUGUUUUUGAGUCUGACUGUAAAGAAUAAGUUAUUAUUCUUUGGAUUAUUUUUUUUUACAUUUCAAUGUUAUUUGUUGGCUCACAGAUAUUUCUUUUUCUUUCUCACACCUCAUACUUUGGCAUGACAACCUCUAAGCAAAUGCUACCAAGAUUACAUUAGGAAACCUCACUCAACAAUGCAGGUACAGUAAAAGAAAAAUGAAAAUGAAAACAAAAAAAAACUCAGGAGAGAAAAAAAAAAAAAUACCAACAAACAUGACAGAACCGCUUUGUUUCCCAAAUUAUCAUCAGGCUGUCCAGACAUGGAGAAGCAGUGAACAGCUAUCACAGUGUGGAUAAUAUAGAGAAGUGCUUCCAGGAACAAUGGGAGCAGCCUCCCGUAUGCAGAAUGGGAGCUGUCAGUGGGAAUUAGUGUCCCACAGAUCCUCCCCAUCUCCCAGUGACGGAUCCAGAAGGUGUGCUUGUGGGGUCAGGUGGGAAGGCAAAGCACUGAAGGUUGCAACACAUCCAGUGUAUAGAGAGUAUUAUCAAAUUACUUUGUCAUCUUUAACAGCCCUGCAGGGACUGCAGUGGAAUCUCAGUCCUUUUUUUAAUGAAUGGAAGUUUUACCCCGAAUAGUAAGAGCAAGAUAAAUACUUUUAGCUGUUUUACUUAGCUCAUUUUUUCUUUUCCUCCCUUUUUUUUUUUCCUUUAAUUUUAAAUAAUUACUGUUUUAAAGCCAGCCAAGGCACAUAGGGUUAAAGAUGUAAAAUCUCAGCAUGGUGCAAUAAAGCUGAUACUGAAAUAGUGUAUCCCUACUGUAGGAGGAAUCUGCAAUCAGGACUUCCAAGCACAUGCAAAAAAUAACUCUUGGAUCAGUCUUCUUGUCUUCCAGUAGACUUGGCAAGAAAGGCAAGCCAUAUGUGAAGCCAGCCAUAUAUCAGUUAUGUGGUCUUAGAUAUUUGCAAUAAAACAAAGGACUUUGCUGUCAGCCCUUCCUGAUUUCAUGAAGCCUUUACAGCUCACAGUAAUGUCUCUUUAUCAAAACCCACAAAGUUAUCCUUAGACAUGUGCAUUUCUUAGGGAAAAUAUUCUCUGAAAUAGCUAUUUAUGAUUAAAUCCAUCAGGGAAAGGGGAAGACAUGAAAGGACUUAAUACAGCCAGUUUCAGCCAUGCUGAAUGCAUCUAGGAAUGACAAACGAGUGUAAAAACAAUUAAAAAUAAAAUAAGUAAGACCGGGGGAAGGGAAAAGGGUAGAAGAAUUAAAAUAGACAUACACAAAACAAUACGAUCAAGAAUGAAAUCUUUGUGACAGUGAUGUGGAUGCCCUGGUAAAUUAAGUGGAACUAAAACUUCACACCAGAAUUGCUCCUGGCCAUUUAUUUAGGCAGUAUUAGCCAGCAGUUUCAUGCAGGGAUCGUGCUAGGAGUGGGUUCAAGGAAAAAAAUUUGUAAGGGUGUUUUUCCCAGCCAAUGUGAGGUGGAUGGUCUGCACACAGGGAACAAGAAAGAUGGCUGAGAAUAGUUCAGAGUGAGCCACGAAGAGAGGUCAGGAGCUAAUGAAAAGUUAGCCCCCGGACCUGCAAAACCACGGGGAUGUGAACAGCCCUAUGCGUGUGAUUGCUCAGUUAUGUGAAGUUCACUGCGUGCUCAAGCUCAGGGUAAGAACUUGUUUGAUUUGAUGUAGUAGUGAGAGGAGUCAGGGGCGGGAUUUGAAAAGUGACGUGAUUGCAGCAGUGCUUUUCUGAAACAACUUUACAGAAAAAAUUCGGAGAGUGCAUUCCUUACAAAACUGAUAAGGUGUUACUAUAGAACUGCAGUAAUGACUUUGGCAAACAGUUUGUGCAAAUUUCUAGACUAUAAUUGCAAAUGUGGAUUUUUAAUCAAAUAUUAUUAACUAUUACAUAAUGAAAAGAAAUAAAAUCCCAAUAGACAGAUUAGCAUUUUUACUCUCUUUAAAAAACCUUUUUUACAAUGUUCCUUUGAGCCAUAUCCUAAGUUUUAAAAGCAUUUGGGUUUUCUAGAUCAGAUUCUGCAAGGCUCUUGGGCUAACUUUAAGUAUGUGAUUUGUCUAAUUGGAAUUAGCAGCUUGCAACCACGUAUGUUCCUAUGGAUCUUGCCAUGUCAUGCAGGUUUUCUUUUUCUUUUUUUUUUCCUACCUUAAAACCCAAUCAAACAAACAAAAACCAUAGUUAAAAUCGACUCCUGUCCCACCUCUUUUUGUUUAUUUAUUUAUUUUAAAUUCCCCUAUGUUAAAUCUUCACAAAAUCUUUCUUAUCACCUCGUGGAUUAAUUGCCAGUGAAAUAUUUGCUUUGGAAUGAGUAUCUCUUACUAAUGUGUCCUGCUCAGUGUUUAUGACUUAUAACUAUUCAGGGCAACAUACUAUAUUAUACAAAUAUUUGAAGCAAUCACAAGGGGGGCAAUGCUUUAACAUAAUCCUUCACUCACAAGUUGCCCUUGCAGCCCUUUUCAGUUACUUUUCAUUAUUUCACCACAGGGGAACAGUCUCAAUAAAUUAUUGUAUUAACAAUUACAUUAAAAAUGAGCCCUGGAACCCCUUUCUCUACCCCAGUAAAUGUCAUUUAACAGUUUUUGGUGUGGAAAUAUGCAACAGAUAAGUCAAGUGGGUUUUUCUUCUACUUCUUACAGAGGUAUGAAAAUAUCAGUAGAUGCUCAGAUCUCCGCUACUCAAAACAUUACGGGUCAGAUCCGAGCAGAGUGGAGAGGUCAGUGCUCCAUCAUCACAGCUUUAUAUCAUUAUGGGCUUUAGGGCAUAAUAGCCUGCAAGGAUGCUUGGUUAAAAGAUGGGAAGGAAACCUGAAAAAGGUUAAUUACGGCACGCACAGCACUUGACAGUUCCUUUUCAAUCUGAUUCAGCUCAGCUGUGAAUGCCACUGUGUCUUCUGCACAAAGAUCCCGCUCGCUGCUAUGCCACUUGCUGUCACCCCAAGGCAGUUGCGUGGUUUGCCCACAAGGACAGAUCCCAACCCCAAACACUGCAUGUUUUCCAAAGGGUGCACCUGCUUUGCUGUGGAUUUGGUGCUUAGAGCUUGCUGUCUGAAGCCUUAACACCCAGAAACUUGUUUUGACAGUUUGGGUUAUGUUCGUUAGGGAAUCCAAGGAGGGAAUAUCUCUGGAGGGGGCAGGGAGGAGAGGGAAAGAAGCACAAACAAAACAAAAACUUAAGCCUGUGACUAAUUGGCUGAAAGGAUGUGAGCAAUUCGGCUCCACUUAAUUGAAUGUGGGCUCAAAUUAAAAAGAAAGAGUAAUUGCCUUCAAAACUUUGCAUUGUAGAUUGCUGGUGAAAGGCUUAGAAGGUGAAAGCCUUAAAGCACAUGUGUCAGUGAUGUUGUUGACAGGAACCCAAAUAUCCUGUUAUAUGCAUCUGCAUUCAGAGGACUUCAUUCUAGAAGGGAUUAGCCUACAUUAUAUUGAUGGUUUUAUUUACAAGAUGAAUUUUCAUUAAAAAGGUACCCUGAUUUUUGCUAGAAAUUUCAGAAUGUGACCAUGCCUUCUAACUGCUAGCUGCCUUCUAAACAUUUCCUGAUCAGAGAACCUGAAAAUAGCUCUUCAGAUUUCAAAGUAAAUAUAAAGAAUCUCUGCAUUUGGUUACAAAUCCGCAUAUUCUUAUUCAUUUGUUCCUUCAAAUUUAGGGAGAACUUCAUCUGAGCAAAGGGAUAGUUGUGUUAAACACGAAUAACCAGGGAGUAGGGAGUCAAGGAAUUUACCUUGAAAGUACAAAUCUGAGUUAUGAGACCUUUUUAAAUAAAAAUCAGGAAUUAACUCAUGCGGUCUGUACAUUGCCAUUUAUUCUUUACAUCAAAGCUGCAUCCACAAGUUCUAGCCCCAUUGUGCUGUGCACAAAGACACAGAACAAAAGAAAUGUCCUACCUCUCAAAAUAAUUCUCUGCAAGAGUAACAAAGACCCUUUGUUUGCUAUUUAAGCAAGAUUGGUGGACAUCAUCUUUAAGAAGAAGCUCUGAGAAUCAACCUUUUCUGUCCUUUUCCAAAUAUGCAUAUGCACAUUUUUUGUGAGUCUGCUACAGUAAAAAGGCUCCUAAAGGAAAGAAUGGAGCAGAGCAAAAGGAAAAUAUUACUUUAUAUUAAUAACAAAUGGAGUGCACAACGCAUUCCACAUACAAAGGUUACCCAUCUACAGAGAUGGAAGCCAAGGGCAUUUUAAAACUUAAAGAUCCUUUAAAUAAACAUAUUGGUUUAAGUAGGAAGCAAAUAUUCUUAGCUCAGCAGGUAGUUGGUAUCUAAAUCACAUUCAGACUUCACAUAAAUACACAUGUCAAAGCAUUUAUCUAGUAAUAAAAAAAACAACUCUUAAGGAAUGCAGUUCAGAUAGGGAAGUGUCAGGUAUUUUGCACAUUUCCUAUUUCCAGCUCAUUAGUUUCAGCUUUUGACAGGGGUGGAGCUGAAAGAGGGGGUCAGAAAUCCUGUGGAGGUUUUUCUCUCCUCCCAAUUUCACAUGAAUAAACAGAGGGAGGGAGUCCCCUGCCUGUCUGCCAGGCUCUUAUCUAUCAUAUUUAGAUGCUAGAUGCUGUCAGAUACUAGAUAGCAAUGCCUGUAGGUAUUGCCAGUUACUGGGAAAUUAAACCUGGAACAGAAGAUACUCCUUUUCAUUCCCAAACUGACCUUAUGAUAUGAGUAGGUUUCAACAUCCUUCGAAAAACACUGAUGUCCAGACAAAGGUGGCAUUAUUAUAUUUUCAUCAUUUGCUACUCACACCUGAUUAUUAUUAUUUUUUUUCUCAUGUUGUCCACAAGUCUCUUACCAGCACCUUAUCUGUACCUUUUCUUUUGCCUACAUUAAUGUGUUCCUCUCAAAUCCAGGUUCUCUCACUCCGGAAGUUGUAGGUUUAGUACUGCACUGCUGGUUUUAAUUUGAACUUUCCUGAGUAUUAGGGAUUAUCAGAAAUACCUUGUUUUCAAAAAUAAAAUAGAAAGUGAAAAAAUAUACCUAGUUUUCCUUUAUUUCCCUAAAAAACAUUUCAGAAAAUGACAAUGCUUCCCUAGAGAGCGUUACUGUAAGAGGGACUUCGAUCUAAUUCUUGAAAUAUGUGCCUAUGAUCACUAACAGUCAAGUUAGCAAUUACCACCCUUGUGCAAGAAGAUACACACUGUAAGCCAAGAUAAGAUAUCCACACAAGCACACUGUCCCUACUAGCAGUAGAACAAACCUAGCCAGCACAAACUGCAAUAUAAAAGCUUUCAUGCAUUCAGCUGCUCUUUCAUCUGAAGGCUGAUAAAUUCCAGCUGAUGGAAGUUAACUUCUUAAGACACUGUUGGAGCAUCCCUUGGUUUGUUGUUGGUAGGAUAUAAAUUAAUAUUGAUAUUUAAGGUACUUUGUUUACAGAGAGGAAAGCCAACAAUAUGGCCUAACUUUUGACUGAGUGAGGUCUCAGAGGUUACUUUGCACUGGCAUGAUCAUCCACACCUUUGGAUUACUUUUUGAAAAAUCUUUGUGGAUCAUGAGAUGCUUCUACUGUGAUAUGAAAAGAAAAUGACUGGCUUUGAUUUGAUGGUCAGGUGGAAUUUCAGUUUGGUUCCUAUCACCUCUCAGACUUGCUUAGAUGAUUCUGUUCCUAAAGUCUGUAUGGGUGUCAGGAAGAACAAUUAUGACUUGUUUUAAAGCUGUUCUGUUAGGGUCACAGGUGAAGUAAAAGACCCAUAACAUUUACCAAUAAUCAUUAGGACAGAGCAUAAGUAUUCACUUUGAAUUAACUUGUAAGCUAGAAGCAUUAACAAAGGCUGCAGGAAGUAUAAUUCUGGGAGGCUCAAAUCUGAAAUUUAUUUUGUCGCACUGUCAUAAAGGGGGUGCAACUUCUUUAAUGGAUUUGAGCCGUUACUAAAUGCAGUAGAGAACCAUAGGAUUCAGUGGACUUCACACAGCCAGGAGUUCAGAGUCUGCCCACUGUGGCUGGUGAGCUAUUUCAGAUGUCUGUUUCUAGCAGAAAUAGACCCGAAAGUGGGUUUACUCUCAAAGAAGAAAAAAGUAGGGUGAUGUAAAUUUCUCUUAAUUUGAGACUACAUUAUGGCCUGCUGCUGCUCAGUCAAAGAAGAUCAAAAAAAAAAAAAAAAAAAAAAAAUAGUUGCCUUUCUUGCUCUGAGUUUCUAACUGUCCUGCUCAGAUUGUGAAGCUAACAGUAGCUAAUAAAGGAGUAAGUGAACCAAACAUGAAUAACAUUUAGUUUAAAACCUAUCAGAUGGCAGAUGGGCCAUGUCUCAUAGGUGUCGUGGAGACAGUUCAGUGGAGAAGAUGCUGACCUAAUGGUGGCAAGAAUAUACUCCUGCCACUGCUGAUCAUUUUUCAUGGAUUCCCAGUUGGUUGUUUGAUAUGCAACUCCAAAAUUUAUUGUUUUUCUCCUUUUUCUUUCCUUUCUGUCAGCCAAUAAAGAGAAACCAUAACAUCAGCAGUGUUUGAAAACAUAUUUAUGUUUGUUUCCCCUAUAAAAAGAGAUAAUAAUGUUAUGUUCCAAUAAUAUUAAGUUGCAAUGUUAUUUGCAAGAUUGCAGAGCUUUUAAUUUUCUGAUUAUUUCCACAGUGGGAGUUUCAGCUCAAUUUCUACUAAGACAUUUCUAUCUGUUUUGGUUAUUUUUUUAUUACAGCUAGAAGCAACAAUAAUUGCCUUUAGUGUAUGAAAACAUGACUGAGGAGACAAUUGUCGUCCCUAAAGACUAAAAUCAUCAGCAUACAUUUUUGAUGUAAAAUUUUUGUAAAUUAAUUGCAAGGUCCUAUAAAUAUUAUAUUUACUAAAAUUGUGUUGUCUGCUGUCUUCAAAGAAAUAAUCUUUUCCUUUUUCUUUCUCUCUCUUUUUUUUUUUAACUAUGUUUCGUAUGCAGUACAUUUCCUGAGGCAGAAAACAAAAACAUGGAACAAAAUAUUAGCCUUUUACUUUUGUAGUUUUACAUUCUACUAUUUCUCUUUUUGAACUCUGGGGUUUCUUUUUAAUAUAGAGAAAAAGAUCAGUAACACUGUCAUUAAUCAUAACCAAUUUUCAGUUUCUCACUGUUCAGUUGAUCAAAAAAUUGAAUAUCCAUCCCAAAUAAUAAGGCAGUAUUCUUGCAUUUGAUUUUCUCACAGACCAGGAAAAUAAAUUCAAAAUGUCAAACGUUUUGUAGAAUAUCUUUUUCUGCAAUUCCUAUUCAGAAACAAUAAAAUGAAAUCUUUUAGAUGUCUCAUAAUGAAAGUGCUCCCACCCAGUUACAUCCUGGGAGAAAUUAUCUAUCACGACUUAUAAAGGAAAUAUCGUCUGCAACCACCCAUAGAGGAACCUGACAGACUGUCAAAGACCUGGAACUACAGUUGUCAAAAGUCCCUGAGAUAACUUGGGUAGAUGCCAAGAUUAAUAAGCCUAAUUAAAAUUACACUACUUUAUUUCCAUUUUUUCCUUGUAGAAUAAUAAACCACAGUCAGCCUAGAUUUUGUUUUUUAAAGAUCUAUUUUUUUACCUGGCUGUGUUAACAUCUCUCCAGUUGCAUUAUCUCACAGUCUGGUAUGUCCUGUGCAACCCAGAUGUAUAGUUGUUUCACAAGAUUUAUGAGUACAUGGCAAAGUUCUCAAGACAAACAGAUUAUGUCCUUUCCGAAUAGCUGUGUUUGACUGCAGGAGCUACAGAGUAUUUUGGAUAAAUGUGCUCAGCAGGCCUUUCUUUGAAGGAGACAGAUAGUGUAACAGCUAAUAUCAAGAACAGUGAUUAGCACCAAUAGAUUUUAGCAGAUUUACUCCAGUCAUAAUGGUAGCCCUUAAACUUGAGGAGGCAGUGCACUGGACUUACAUUAACUCUAGCAAAUUUGCUCCUAGAAAAGCAGUGGAAAACCUAGGGAAGAUUCUUACUAAUAAAGCACACUUUCAUAAGAAAAUCUGCUCUCCAAGGAAGAUCAGGGACAAGAUUAUACAGACAACCAGGACAAAAAUCAGUAGACAAGAAAAACUUCAGAAAUACUUAGUCUGUGGUUACUGUCUAAGAAUUAACUAUUUUUUUAUUUUUUAUUUUUUUGUUAAGACAGAUAUCAGGUCACUUUUUGAGACCAAUCACAGCUGCAGCUAUACCUGGAGUAGGACCUUGCUUUGGUUCUUCAUGAUUGCUAUAUCUAAAGUACAGCAGGAUGCAGCCAGAUAUGUCAAACUGCCCUUGUUUUCAACCAGGUAUUAGAUUCACAACUUCCUAAUGUAAAGAAAAAAAAAAAUUAUCUGUACUUUUGAAGACUGAAUUCAUCUCCAGGUAAUACAAAUGAGAAACGGUGCUCUUCCCCACAGUAAUAGGAUUGCAAUCAAGCUCUCAAUGUGAUUUACAAACUCUGUAGUGUUAACCAAUUACUUGCUGGUCAGCCAAUAACAAUGACUGAAUCAUCUUUUGCUUCAGAAAAGGAUCACUGCGCACAAGUUGGAGAAUCUCACAGCACUGCCUUCAAACCAUUCCUACUAAAUAAGACACUGCACUUCUCUGUCGAAAGAUACUAUAUGGUAUUUUAGCCCAAGAAACUUAUGUCAGGAUCUAUAAAAACAACUGGGAACAUGCAGAAUAAUUGAAUCUUAAAUGAUUGUGUAUAAUGUGUCUGCAUUUAUAUUUCAGCAUUUAAAUGCGUUUCAAUACUUUGGUGUGUGAAAGGGUUAAACAAUAACAGAUUUCCUGUGCUAAACAGCUUAAUGAAAAACAUUCAGGGUGCUUUUUUAGAACAACAGACUCAUACUGCAAAAUGAUAAUCUUUGGUAUGUCCUUUUUUUUUUUCUUUUUCACAAGUAACAAUAUAGGCGAGACAGACUUUGCUAUAAUUCUUCCUAAUUGCUCUAAUGCAUUUCAUUUUAUUUUAGUGUUUUCAGUUUAUAAAAACAGUUAGCAUCAGUUUGUUUCCAGUUUUAAUGGAGAUAAACUCCUUCUUUUCCCCCUGAAAAAAAUUCACAAUAUGGUUGGAAAUGUCAGCAAUAAUUAGACAAAAUGCUUGUGAAACAUAAAAUAAAAACAAUACGUCUUUUUAUAAUGGAAUCAGUUUGUCUGAUUAUCUCAAACAAUGUACAUUUCCAACUGCCCAGGAGGGUCAUUAGAGCUUAUGAAAAUCAAAGUCUGCUUUUUCUGCUUCAGACAUCAUGGACAACAAUAUUGUCUCCAGGAUCAUUAUAAAUAUAUGUUAGACUUUCUUGAACUACAGUGAACCUGAAGCAUGAAAUGCAUUUAAAGAUAAAAACAUCAGGGGAAAAAAAAAAGAACAAAUGAAAAACAAAACAAAAAAGCAAACAAAUAAAUCCACUUUGUGUUAUUAACUAAAUAAGUGUUACAUAGAAAUUAUAGUUGGAUACAUAACCUCGCUGAAUACAGUACUCAAGGGACCUUGGUUCUAUUCUGUCAUCAGUCACAGAUUUCCAGUAUAACCUCAGAAAAGUCAUUUCCUACCCUAUGCACAAUGAGGGCUAUUUGUCCCUUAAAGAGAUGGUUGUGACAGAGCUCCCUUCUGAGUUCCUGUCUAGGUGUGAAGUCUAAUUCAAGAAGUUUCUGUUAUUCCUUUGAGAUACACUCAGAGAAUAGACAAGAGUAUCACUUCUACCUUUUUUCCCAUUUGUAGAAAUGGGGCUAAUAUUCUCUUGCUCUCACUGGAGAGUUUAUGGAUACAAUCCAUUAGUGUGUGAGAGGCAUUCAGAUACCAUGAUGACAAGGACCAUUUAGCAAGUAAAUAUCUGGAUGGAGUAGGAGGAAUUCAGCUGCUGUUACCACAUUACAUUACAAAUAGUUUAGGACAAAAGACAAACGGGAAGUCUGAUAAGUUUAUCGUAUGAUCAGUUAUAGUCAUACAACAAUUCUGCACUCAAGGAACCUGGAAAGCUGUUUCAAAAAUGAAGUUUCCACCUGUUUAGUUUGUUUACCAAUAAGUGUGGCAGUAUGCCUAUUCUGCCCAGUGGUUUAAGCACUUUUCUCCUGCUCAUACAUGCUGGGUUUUCAGUCUUCAAUUGCAUCUUUCAGAUUCAGCAGCAGUGUCACACGGCAAGAUGGAAUUCUAGGGAUGCUGCUGCGUUGUUUUGGAUGGGAUCCUACUAUAUCAGCUGCCAAAGUGCCCAAGGAAAAACUGAAACUUACAGGAAAAUUAUAGCGACAUGAAGAAAUUUCAUUAAAAGUGACAUGUUCUAAACCUUUUAGAAAUACAAAAAUCUGUUGAAGAUCCCAAGAUGUGUGUAGAAAAUGUGGGUAAGAAAAGAAAAUGCAUUACUAAACUAAUCUAAAACCAAAGCAGGUAUUUCUCUGCUAUAGUAUUGCUACACAUAUGCUCUUGUUAGUACAAGCAAAUGCUUACCAAUAAUGAACAAUCUCUGUUGGUUGCAAUGCUCAAGCACAAAUUAAACAAUGCUAAAAACUAUUAUUAAAGCACAUGAAGGAAUUAAUACAUAAAAUCCUUCUGCUACUUCAAAUUCACAGCAAAGCGAUUCCUCUCAGCUAAGCCAUCAGUACAAUGUACAGAAGCCUAUUUUUAGGAAUGGUUAAGGGAACAUACUUUCCAUGGAUCUCCAUGUAUUUCAAGCCUACUAAGGGUACAACCCAUCCUAUCAGAGUAGGUUUAUUUGGAGGAGGAGGACAAGGAUCCCUGCUCACACUGCCUCCCAUGGCAUGAGAAAUGAGAAUAUUCUCGACAUCCCAGUAGCAAUAGGAGUAGAUAUGAUCCACUGUAAAAUCCUGUGAGCUUCAUUAUCAGUUUCAGAUGAGGGUUCUGUUUGUAAUUAGCAGAAACCAAACCAAUGAAGUAGUAUUUGGUUUUCUUUUGUGUGUUUUGCUCUCCAACAGUUGCUGAACACUUCAUUUUAGUCCACCAAUUCCUCAGCUAGUGACACAGCCCAGUCAGGGUCACAGGCCCAAAAUGUAUUCCACCUCUAUGCUCACCUGUCUCUUAAGCAGGGAAAUUAAAAUUCAUUGUCAAAAUAAGCAGAGAUUUUGCAGAUUGAAACAAGAGAGGAAUAGCACUUCUCUCUCUUGUGUCUUCUACAGUGUAACACAGCAGAGAAAGUAAAGCCCAGGGAAAAACAAAUUAGAGUGACCCCAAUGUCCUGAAGACAAUAUUUUCAAGCUUCAUCAUUGAAAUAAAGAUUUGAGAAAUCACCAAUCAACAGCUCAAAUCCACCAGAAGCAGAACGUCAAGUUUGGGCCCACAUGCAGAUUCUCACAUGAGGCUUUCACAUGGUAAACAGCCAAUGUUUGAAAAGGCACACAGCAGAAAUUGUUGGAAGAAACAUUAGCUGGGAGGGCAGGCCCAUUGCCUUAGCUCUCCAAGGCAGACUGAAACAAUAGCAAGUGACACAGAUGAAUUUUCACCUUGUCUACCGGUACUGCCACAGAAAGGAUGUAAUGCAAUCUCCUGAGAAGUCCAUUGUCCUCAUGGCACUGUGUGAAAUCUGUGACAAUGUCAGAACUUGGUCAUAGCUCCACGUUCUCUGCCAGAAACAUAAGCAUGCUUCGAGUGCAUUAUUCUUUUAGAGGGGGGCCUCGAAAAGUUCAGCUGUAGGAUUUUCUCAUCAGCUUAAUUUUUCCAUGUUCUGUUUCGUUUCUGGUAUUUUCCCACUUAUGUUAUUUGCUUGCUGAAGCUGCUCCAUUCAUGGAGUUCAGUAAAUGGUGUUUGCCAUCAGAACAAUUUGAUUCUAGUUCUAAUUAUAACAACAAGCUGCUUUCUUCAAACAUAAUAUGGGUGUUUCAUUAUUUUAAAUUGUUAUCUUCCAUAUUAAUUACAGAAACAGUUGAUCUUUUCUGAGAAACCAGCAGCUGCAAAUUCCCCCCUUUUUAAAUGUCUCAUUUUAAUAGGUGAAACAUCAGGUAAAAAUUAAAUCAGAUUGUAUCAUAAUUCUCCAGAAGAAGAUAUGUAAGUUACAACACAUUGCCUCCAUAUUCCAUAGGGUUACACUAUUCAGGUGUAUUCAACCAUGUAGCUUAGUAUAGAUCACACAGCUCAGUUGCAGACACAGUGCCCCUAAAUAAAUCACACAGCAAUGGCAACAUUACUAAUGAGACUAUCAGAAUCAAAGGAAGCAGGGUGAUGCAUCUGAGUAGAGCCUACAUCAUUAUUCUGCAUGAUUUGUUUAUGGUAUUGUUGGUGAGUCGUGUUUCUCCCCCCUCCUUUCCUAGUCCAUCUGGAUUAAAAAUGGGAACUAGAAGAACUGAAGUCCUGGAAUAGCCUGUACACAACAGUCCUGCAGUCAUAAGGAGGGGUGGUCUGGUGCUUCUUGCAAGGCAUCUGAUUACACAAACUCACUUAUCAUCUGUACUCUGCAGCAGUUCAAGAGCUGAACUUCUGACAGUUUUCUUCUGUCACGUAUUUGUAGCUACUGAUCUCCAUGAUCCCUGAAAGAAGUAUAACUCAGUUACUGAGCCUGCUGACACUCAUGUCAUACUUUUUUCCAUCCUCACUCAAAGCAGUGAUCGAAAUUUAUUCCUAUUUUGUGAAGUACAGAGUAACGAAUUUCCAAUACUAGUGGCUUUUUCUCCACAAUAGAACUCCACAUUUCUGAAAGGGAAAGUUAAUGUUGGAGAUGAGAAUAUGCUACCAGCAAAGCUAAGUUAUUUAGCAUUUCUACAGUAUUUAAAAUUUCUUCAGAUAAAAUAUGAGAAUUAUAUUUAAAAAAAAAAAGAAGAAGAAGAAGAAGAAGAAAAAGACAAACAAACACAGAACAGUUUUCUAAAGAUGAUAUGUAAGCUGCACAACACUGAGAUUCUCCUUGGACAUAAAUUGCUGACAACAUGUCAAAUCUUUUCCACAACUGGGAUACAUUUACAUUGUUUUAAACAUGGAGUUACUUCUUUGCUGUUUAGGAUUUGGCCAAAUUUAAACAUGCUUGGAAGACAGAGACUUAACUUCUCAAAUAAUUUAUUGAUUGCCGAUAGAAACAUUUUUUCUUAAAUUGUGCAAAUAAGAGCUAGAUAACAUUGAGAAUAGGAGCUUUCAAAACCUCUGCACUGAUCACAUCUGACAAACAAGAUAGGAAAAAAAUAUUAAAAAAAAAAAAAGAAAAAGAAAAGAGUUUAAAAGAAGAGUGAUAACAACACAACAAAACAGCAAAACAAAACAACACAGAAAAAACAACUCAAAACACAACCCAAACCUAGAGCUUAACCAAAUAAUUCAAUGUUCUUCCCCAAAACCAAUGGAGAGAGGAAUAUAAAUCAUGAAUUUAUAAUAAAAAAAAAAUGAUUUUUUUUUCCUAAAUCAAUGGUACUCCUAAACACGCUUCAAACAAUAAAGUAAGACUUUGCAGUGAUGAGUAGUUCAAAACAAUUCUUCAACCAGAUGGUUACAACUGUGGUUUUCUGUACUCCCCUUUCAUUUUCCCUUUCUUACAUGUCCCUCCCACUUUGCAUCAUACCAAUUAAUAUCUUUCCUUCCCUAACAGCCCUCUAGAUAAUUCACAGAGGCAUUUUUCUGUGUGGCCUAGCAUUAAACAGAAACUAUUAAACAGUCAACUCCUAUUUCUUCUAUAGAAUUAAUGUCAUGUUAACUCACAGAAUGCCUUGCUGUUUAAUCACACAUGAAUGAGGUAUUUUAAAGAAGUUGUAAGGUAUUUCAGCCACACCCUAAGAACAUUCCGCUGAUUUAAACCAGGAUGCACUAAACCUGUUUUAGAUACAGUAUAGGAACACUACUUUUAAUUGCUAAUUUUUGCCUUACAAAUCUAAGUAGAAAUAACAAGGAAAAUAUAAUGCUCUUUAAAACAGAAAAAUUGAGUUGAAGUUUUGUGCAAUUUGAUGCCUUGCUGGCAUUUUAGGACUUACUAUUAAAACUCACAUGAAAGUAACCUGAAGGAAAGUUCUCUGGAAGGACAAAGGAAUCAAAUUGUGUCUUUGAUGCUUAUAGACAUAUUCUGGAGUGAUUUUAUAUUGAAUCCCACUUCCAUGAGAACUAUGUGGUUUUAUUCAUGGAGGUGUAAGCACCUGAGCACUCAUCUCUAUGAGUAACAAUAUUCAGAGUUCCAUUGUAUUCUAUUAUAUUAUGACUAGCAGCCUCCAAAUCUGCACUGAAGUAGUUUGAUGCAUUAUCAGCAUUUUGAUCCAACCAUAGCUCAUUAUCUGUGGUCUUACUACUGAUGUGUCUCCAGUCAUGACUCAGAACGGCAGUGCUGGGGCCCAUGUGACCAGAUCCCCUUUCAUCUCCGGGGCUCCAUUUUCUUUAUAAAACAAAGAGGUGCCAUCACAAAUGUACUUUUUGGCAUUUCCCUGUCAGCCAGAAUCAACCUGCUAACUGAUAGGUGUGCUGUGUCUCCUAGAGGGUCUAGAUGUGCAUAUGUGGUUGCAUCCAUGCUCAGAAACAAGGUGCUUAAUCAUGGCAAAGUACAGGGACAUUAAAACCCAUCCAGUUCCAACCCCCUGCCAUGGUCUGGCUGCCCCCCAACAGACUGGGGCCCAGGGCCCCAUCCCACCCAGCCUUGAACGCUUCUAGAGGUGAGGUACCUACAGCUUCUCUGGCAGCCUGUCCCAGCACCUCACCAUUCUCUGAGUAAAGAAUUUUUUGGUAACAUCUAACCUAAAUUUCCACUAUUUUAGUUUAAAGCCAUUCCCCCUUCUUCUAUCACUCUUAUACAGUGUUUCAGUGCUAAACAUAUUAAUUACAUAUCCCCAGAAAUUUUUGAACUGCAGCAGUCAGGCUGGAAGGGAACAGUCACAGCAGCAGCACUUUUAGUCCCAUGGAGGAAAGAUUCCAGAUCUCAAAUGCCAGAAUUCAUGUGUGCAGAGAGCACCAAGAAGUGCUGCAGAGAGCACCAAGAGCCAACAGGAACGAUGGUGCCUUUUAAUCUUGGUAAUAAAUGAGCAAAUGCAGCAAAGUAGAAUUUAUCUGUUAGCACUGACAGUUGUUAAAGACCAUGUAACUGUCUGUAAUGUAUAUAGAAUUAUUGACAUCAGAUGUGUUUAUAUUUAGGUUAAACAACUAUAUUGUUUUUAUAAGAGAAAACUGUUUCUGAAAACAAUAGGCCAAAUUGCUUUUUCUUGCUAAGAACAAUGAUGCAAUUCUGCCAGUACCAACAAUUUUUAUUACAGAAUCAGCUAACUGAAAACACAAGGCUCUUUAACAACAUGUAUCUUACAAAGCACUCCAGUGCAUGCUGAUGCUGUUUUGCUUUGUUUGCCAGUCAAGAUGGGUAAAAGCAAUUUGUAUUUUGCAUUUUGCUUGUUAUUUCACUUUUCCUUUGUGUGGUUCCUCUUGCUUUCCUUUCUUUUCAUGCAGGCAAGCUCCAUUUCUUCUAAAUUUUUCACUAUCAAAACUACUUCGAUGAAAUCAGAGUCAGCUGAAGAGAAAAAGGCAAAUCCUUCCGGGAUGAGGAAGAAACAGAAGGAAAAGAGAAGAGAAUUGAGAUGGAAAAUACAUUCUUGUCUCCAGAAAUAAGCAAGGCUCCCCAGAAUUUGGAGAUUAUGCAGUCACAGUUACCACAGCAAACGUAUUCUGAGCCGUGUCUUGGACCAUCCCAUUAAAGAUUUUCAAAUACACAACUAUAGGACUGCUUGCAAGAGGGCUGCAUAUUUGAAAUUUGUUUAAAUGCUAGUGUUAUGGAAAGCAUAAUCGGUACAGAUAUACCAAAACUGAGUCUGUAAAACAGAAAAUAAACCUUGCCAUUUGCCAUUUAGAGGCAGUUUAAAACAAGGUCUUUGACUUUGGACUGUACCUGGCAGGUUAGAGAUUCACUAGAUGUGCAGAAGAUGCAGCAAACUGAGAUCAUAGACUAAUGAUUUAGAUUUAAGAUUUAAACUAUAUCUCAUUGUCAUUGAGAUAACAUAAUAACUGAAUUAAAAAAAAAAAAAAACUGGCUUUUGUCAGUGCAAAAAUUAAGCUCUUGUGCUUGCCUCAGUAAUGAAAUAUACAACAUCUCUUGUUGUCCUUACCUUUGAACUGCAGAUAACUGUACAGCAAUGUUACAGGACAGAGAUACACUUGUGAAAUAUUCACGAGCUGAUGUCUUUGCAGCCCCACGGGACCAGUGAAGAGCUCUUUUUUCCCCCACAUCUCUCUCUCAGACUUUAAAUAAUGAGGAGCAGAAAAGGUAUGAGACAACAUGUCUGUGUGUCUCCUUUGAAAUCUUUUCUUACAUUACCUUGUUAUCUGUGCUCAAGAGCAGCAGGUAUUCCAGCAGUUCAGAGUGUAUCCACAGCAAAAACACCCAGCAAAAUAGACUACCAGUCGACACAGCUUUCAGUUCCUGGUCCAGUCGGCAAAACACAAAACUAAUACAUAGGGGAGUGCCAGCCUGGCUGAGGCUAGAGGGGAGUGAAGGCAGAAUUUUUGCCAACCAGUGAUUUAGGAAAAUAUAUAUUAUUCAUCCUGGAAAACAACCUAAUGCACUGUUUCCUACUCUGUGCUCUGAAAGUGCCUUCAUAUGGAAAGCUAUUAAACUUCUAUAUGUUUUUAGCAUUACAGCGUGGAUCAAAGCCUGACCACCCCAGGCAGAUGAGAGUGUCAGAUCCCUCCACCAGUCAGGAGGAUUUGGAUCAGUGUUUUCACUUUAGCCGUCAGUGGUGAAGAAAUCCAUCCAGACCUGAAUUUGGAGUUUUUCCUAUGCUACAGUACUGUGCAUUGGGAAAGACCAUCCUGAACUUACUAUGGGUGGAAUUCCACUUGUUUCUACCACUCUAAGUCAGGCUGGAGCAUGGACAAGAAUUAAAUCAGACCAGACUUAUCAGGGGAAUUCACCUUGUCAUCAAGGCAAACGUAACACUUUUUUUUUUUUUUUUUUUUUUUGAGGAGGCAUCACAUUUUAAAUUUCAAGUGCUGUAAGUCUUCUAACCCCCUUUUUUUAUUCCUUCUGUGAUACAAAAAUGCUUAUAUAACAGGUAUUUUCCCACACCAGCCUUAAAAGCCCUUAUUUCCUUUCUUUUUUUAUUUCAACAGACUAAUAGUCAUUGCAACACAGGUGACAGUAAAUCAAAUCAAGUUGAAAUGUCGGCCUGACUCAUUCUCAGACGAUAUAUGAUUUGUUUGCAUUGCAUUAUCUUGGAAACCCAUAGCCAGUGUGCACUAACUACAUGUCUGCACAUGGCAAGAAGAUAAACACCCUUAGCCAGUAAUAUAAAAUCUAAAUAAAAUUACAAUCAGGUUUGUAUACUAGGAUAGCUUUGUAACACCCAUGGGGCAUUACUCUUAUCAUUAGAAUUAUUUGCAUUAGAGCAGUGUCCAAAGAUCCUGCCUAUGAUCAGGUUCAAAUUGUGCUAGGCUCUGGAAAACAUGGGAAGAGACAAAAAUUCUGAAUGUUAAAUAGAUAAUUACAUGCAAAGGGUGUGAGAAAGAAAGGAUGGCUAUCAUUAUUUUGUAGAGAACUUAGGUGUGGAGAUUACAUUUUUGCUACAUUCUAAGCAUAGGUGCAAAGCAAUGCUGAAGUACAAGUCUGAUUUGCAUGUUCUUUGCACACCAUAACAUGUGUAGGUUACCACGGCUUUGUGGAAAUACUGAUAACAGUGGGAGAGAAAGCUUGAGUCUUCCAUCUCCAGCCACACACAUGGGCAGCUGGAAACGGGUGGCUAGGCUUUUCGCCUGAGGCAACAGCCACGCAUCCUGUCAUGCUGUCCUCUGACACUAUUUGAGUGCUGAUCAGACACGCCUGCCCAAGUUGUUCCCAUAAAGGCUUAGAGCCCUGCAACACAGGAUAGAUGGGCAGGAGAGUUACAGGAACGCCAAGCCCAGAGUCAGAUACCUGAAUGGAUGCCCAGACAACAUGAGUGGGUUUUUUGUUUAUUUUUUCUUUUUCCUCUCUUGGGCAGACCACAUGUUUUCUGUAAAGUCAUAAAAAAAUCUAAGUGGUGCUAAGAACCAGUCACCUCACUCCAGUUUGGCAUUUGCAAAUUCACCAUUCCUCUCUAAGGUAACAGCUGCUGGAACUACACCAGCAACUUCUUCAAAAAACAGGACAAGUGGUCUUUCAGUGGUGAAAGAUCUGCUGAACUCAAAGGAAGCUGCAUCUGGAGUAACAUUUCAAUGUAUACGCUGUGCAUGCUUACAAGUUUUAUGAUUACAGAAACAGCCAGCACAAUGCUGGGCUGACGAAAGAGGGGGUGGAUGUUUAGAUGCUGCUGUUUCACUUCAUGUUGGCAGGGAUAUGGAAAUUAUGAAGUGAUAAGGAGAGAUGUAAGAGGGAGGAGAAGGCAUGAGUGAUUGAUUAUGUGCUUAAUUAAGCAAUGUUGGCCACAUCAAGUUGUAGUGAAGUCUCUGUACAUCUGUAGCAUGCUUUUAGUCCCAGGCAAUAAAUUGGCUACCUGCCUCUGAAUGGACAGUGAGGGGAAAAUACUUUUGAAGGUAGAAAUGUUGGCUAUCCAGAAGCGAUGGAUGGUUACUUACUAUUUUUUUUUGUCUUUGAAGACUGUAUAUUAUCAGUUAACAUAAUGAACUCACCAAGUGGUCCAGUAACCCACGGAAGUAAUUCUACUUAGAUCACUGAAAUAAAAGGCAGGAGCAAGGCUUUCAGACUUAGGCCUCAAACAAAAACUAACAUUCAAGGAUAGCAAGCUUUUCCUCCUGUUUAAGCUCCUUUAAUAAAAAUGCAAAUAUUGCUUUCUUAACCACAAUAGGAACUCUAGUCAUUAUUUUUCAAUACUAAUGUUAGUGUUUUCCUAUAACUUCUGUUGUGCUGUAAUUCUAGAGGCCCAUGUCUAAUCCCAUAUGUAAUGUGUUUAUUAGAUGUAAUAUUUUAUCUCUUGGAUACAGUUUCUGACACUAUCAUUUUGUUCUUAUUUCAAUAAAACUGAUUUCCUUCCUUCUCACCCUGACAGGAUGCAUUGAAUUUCUUUAUCACAGAAGAAAGUUAGAAAGGUUCUCCCAUAAAAGACAAAAAUGGACUGCAUGUAGUGUGGCUUAAUUUAAUUUAUCUCAUAAAGUCCAGACCAAAUAAAGUAACUUUAUAAUAUUAGAUACGGCCAGAAUUGAGCUGGGAUUCUUUUGUUGUUGUUGUUUGUUUUUAAUAUAUGGUUAUCUAGUCUCAGUAAAUCUGUAGCUCAUUGGCUUCACCACCUGUAUCCUUCUGAACACAGAAUGAAACAGUACCAAAUGCUCAUGCAAUUUCUGAUUUUCUUUGGGAAUUCACUAUCUGUGUGCUUUAAUCAAGUGAUAAUAUGUAGGAACCAUUCCAGCUUUCAGCUGACAAAAGCACAAUAUUAGUUGUUUGAUGAGAACUCCUCUAUGGAUACAAAUUCCACAUGGAUUUUCCCAGGCUUUGUAAAUUUAUUAAAAAAUAAUAUAUUCUAUACACAAUUAGAACAUGAAUGUUAAAAGAGUAAGUAAAGUAAUUUGUUGGGAAUGUGAAAUCAUCUAGAAAAGAAAGAUGUUUUCGUAUAAUUUUAGCUGUCACAUAAUAAUUUGCAAAACACAGAAGGCAUUUGAAACCUUUGGUAUCCAGAUCCAGAUUCCCAGUAGAAAAGUAUUCCUUUCAGGCUACCUUCUGGAAUAAAGGUCUUCUUUAUCUCCUUUAUCAUAUUGGUAGUGUUUCACUAAACAGACAGUCAGAAGCUGCUGUUGAAUAGGGAAGCUGGAAAACGCUCAUCUUAUUUCAUAUUCAUUUUCCACACCUUGUCAACAACUGCACAGCUCACCACUGAAGCUGCAUUUCAUGCAAUGCAUCCAAAGGUUACAACUUAUAGGUCAGAGAUGGGAAUUUUCACUUCGCAAUCACUGGGCAGCUGAGACUCCAUACAUUACUGUGGUGACAGGUAUAGUACGCAGUGAUGAACCUUCUGUCAGUCAGACAGAGGUCACAUUGGUAUCAGUUACUAACAUACCCCUCUCCUAGCUUAAAAAAAAAAAAAAAAAAAAAAAAAAAAGGAAAAUUAAAAAAAGUCUAUUUUUUUUCUUCUUGUGGAAAAUGGAAACAGAGUUGAUGUUCACUAAUGUCAAGUGGCAGGAGAUUUAGAGCCCCAGAGCUCAGGAGGUCUCCUGUAGCUGUGCUGGCAGUACUUUCAGCACCAACAUAAAUCGCCGCCUGAACUGAAACCCACAAAAGCUGUUCCAGAAGAAACUACAACAGCCACGUAAACAUGUACUGGACAGGAAACAAUGAACUCCAACCUGGUACUGGAGAAUCCAAAAUAAGAGCAUGUCAACUUCCUGGUCAUAGCUAUUUUAUUUUUUUUCGUAUUUAGCAUCACUUACACAAAAACAGUUAAAAAUUAUUACCUUAGCAGACAGUCAGAUUUUUAGUUUUUGUAAUGAGGUGGCUGAAUCUCACAUUAAAGAGGAAGCUGUAACACAAAUAAGAGGAAGUGAAUAAGUACUUAAGAUGUACCUUCAACUCCGUAAUUUUAACGCUUUCAUGAAGAGAUCAGAAUACAAAAUCUAUCAUCAUUAAUUAUAUCCUGUUAUACCAUCCUUGUGUUCUUUGCCAAAUAAAUGCCAUAACACAUCAGAUAACAACAGAAUAUUUACAUUACAAAGGUUAAAGGAUCAUGCUAUCUGUAGCUAGGUCAAAGUAUUUUGGUCAACUGCAAUAAAAUUUUGUCUGAAGGUCCCCAGAGGUUAAUGCGAUCACUGAACUUCACAGUCAGUUUAUGAAUAAGACCUUAAAAGAAUAUUCCUAAGUUCCUGCAUUUUCCUACUUGUGGUACUUGAACAUCCACAAGCAAAUACUGGCCUUCCUAAACAAGACAGUUGGAUGACACAUUUUUUUUGUGUCAAAAAGGAAGCCCUUCUUCCCCUCAAAAAAAAAGAAAAAAAAAAAAAACCUAGCAUAAAGCAGACUCUAUACACAUGGAAUAAAUUGAUUUUACCAAGGCUAAAUUUGUCUAGUGGAGCCUAUACUUGAGAUCAUUCAAGCGCUCUCUUGAGUUAUCUCAUUGUAGCAGAGUUUGCAGGACAGGGCCUUGAAUUUGUUUCUGCCAUACAAAGUUGAUAUAUAAGAAGACAGGAUUUAAUUGAAACAUCUUGAAAGAG
ensembl:lncRNA